AUUAGAUAAAAAACCAAUGCCCUUCGGGGCUUUCUGGUGAUUCAUAAUAACUAAACGAAUCGCAUGGCCUUGAGCCGGCGAUGGUUCAUUCAAAUUUCUGCCCUAUCAACUUUCGAUUGUAGGAUAGAGGCCUACAAUGGUUUCAACGGGUAACGGAGAAUUAGGGUUCGGUUCCGGAGAGGGAGCCUGAGAAACGGCUACCACAUCCAAGGAAGGCAGCAGGCGCGCAAAUUACCCAAUCCCGACACGGGGAGGUAGUGACAAUAAAUACUGAUACAGGGCUCUUUUGGGUCUUGUAAUUGGAAUGAGUACAAUUUAAAUCCCUUAACGAGGAACAAUUGGAGGGCAAGUCUGGUGCCAGCAGCCGCGGUAAUUCCAGCUCCAAUAGCGUAUAUUAAAGUUGUUGCAGUUAAAAAGCUCGUAGUUGAACCUUGGGUCUGGCUGGCCGGUCCGCCUCACCGCGUGCACUGGUCCGGCCGGACCUUUCCUCUUGGGGAUCCGCAUGCCCUUUACUGGG
rnacentral:rRNA from 1 species